AGAGUUUGAUCCUGGCUCAGAACGAACGCUGGCGGCAGGCUUAACACAUGCAAGUCGAACGCACCUUUCGGGGUGAGUGGCAGACGGGUGAGUAACGCGUGGGAACGUGCCCUUCAGUUCGGAAUAACCCAGGGAAACUUGGGCUAAUACCGGAUACGUGCGAGAGCAGAAAGAUUUAUCGCUGAAGGAUCGGCCCGCGUCUGAUUAGCUAGUUGGUGAGGUAAUGGCUCACCAAGGCGACGAUCAGUAGCUGGUCUGAGAGGAUGAUCAGCCACAUUGGGACUGAGACACGGCCCAAACUCCUACGGGAGGCAGCAGUGGGGAAUAUUGGACAAUGGGCGCAAGCCUGAUCCAGCCAUGCCGCGUGAGUGAUGAAGGCCUUAGGGUUGUAAAGCUCUUUCGUCCGGGACGAUAAUGACGGUACCGGAAGAAGAAGCCCCGGCUAACUUCGUGCCAGCAGCCGCGGUAAUACGAAGGGGGCUAGCGUUGUUCGGAAUCACUGGGCGUAAAGGGCGCGUAGGCGGCUUUAUAAGUCGGGGGUGAAAGCCUGUGGCUCAACCACAGAAUUGCCUUCGAUACUGUAGAGCUUGAGACCGGAAGAGGUAAGUGGAACUGCGAGUGUAGAGGUGAAAUUCGUAGAUAUUCGCAAGAACACCAGUGGCGAAGGCGGCUUACUGGUCCGGUUCUGACGCUGAGGCGCGAAAGCGUGGGGAGCAAACAGGAUUAGAUACCCUAGUAGUCC
rnacentral:rRNA from 1 species